UAAUGACGAGACGCUAAGGCGUUGAAGCAGUGUAUGUCAGACUUCCAAGAAAAGCUCGCAAUGUCACAAAUAAAAUAUGCCUGUGCCAUAACCGACACAGGUGGGUAGGUAGAGUAUACUAAGGGGCGCGAGAUAACUCUCUCUAAGGAACUCGGCAAAAUGACUCCGUAACUUCGGGAGAAGGAGUGCCUUAUUUAUAAGGUUGCAAUAACAAGAUCCAAGCAACUGUUUAUCAAAAACACAGGUCUCCGCUAAGUCGUAAGACGAUGUAUGGGGGCUGACGCCUGCCCAGUGCCAGAAGGUUAAAGAAGUUGGUUAGUGUAUGCGAAGCUGAUGACUGAAGCCCUGGUGAACGGCGGCCGUAACUAUAACGGUCCUAAGGUAGCGAAAUUCCUUGUCGGGUAAGUUCCGACCCGCACGAAAGGCGUAAUGAUUUGGAUACUGUCUCGGAGAGAGGCUCGGUGAAAUAGACUUGUCUGUGAAGAUGCGGACUACCUGCACCAGGACAGAAAGACCCUAUGAAGCUUUACUGUAACUUGAAAUUGGAAUUGGACUUUGCUUGCGCAGUAUAGGUGGGAAGCGUUGAAAAUAUUCUUGCGGGAGUAUUGGAGCUAUCAGUGAGAUACCACUCUUGUAAUGUUAGAUUUCUAACUUUGAACCAUAAUCUGGUCAAAGAACAGUUUCAGGUGGGCAGUUUGACUGGGGCGGUCGCCUCCCAAAUGGUAACGGAGGCGUACAAAGGUUUCCUCUGAACGGAUAGAAAUCGUAUCUAGAGUGUAAAGGCAUAAGGAAGCUUGACUGUGAGACCUACAAGUCGAGCAGGGACGAAAGUCGGUCUUAGUGAUCUGACGGUACUGAGUGGAAAGGCCGUCACUCAACGGAUAAAAGUUACUCUAGGAUAACAGGCUGAUCUCCCCCAAGAGUUCACAUCGACGGGGAGGUUUGGCACCUCGAUGUCGGCUCAUCGCAUCCUGGGGCGGUAGUACGUCCCAAGGGUUGGGCUGUUCGCCCAUGAAAGCGGUACGCGAGCUGGGUUCAGAACGUCGUGAGACAGUUCGGUCCAUAUCCGGUGUAGGCGCUAGAAUAUUGAGAGGAGCCUUCUUUAGUACGAGAGGACCGAGAAGGACACACCGCUGGUGUACCAGUUAUCGUGCCAACGGUAAACGCUGGGUAGCUAUGUGUGGAGUGGAUAACCGCUGAAAGCAUCUAAGUGGGAAGCCCACCUCGAGAUGAGUA
rnacentral:rRNA from 1 species